UUGAGUGGGGAUGCCAGGGUUUCUUGGUGUAGCCCUGGCUGUCCUAGAGCUCCCCCUGGAGACCAAGGACGCCUUGAACUCAGAGAUCCUCUUCUGGGAUUAAAGGUGCUUAUGAGCAUUGCUAGACGUGAAGCCUGCCCACUACAGCCAGGCUUACUGAUCCCAGCAUCCUGGCUCUCCGUCCUCCCCUCCCCACUCUCCUUAUCCCCAGGCCUCUUAUAGUUACCCUGAUGUUGGGAAGGGCCUGCCGCUGCCUCACCAAGCCCGCCGGCGAACCCGCUGAUGCAGAGGCCACCUGCCUGAGUCUUGAUCGCAGACUUGAGCUCGUGAUUCUCCCGAAUGAGCCGUACCAGCUUCUUCAGUUCCUCAUUUUCCCGCACCAGCCUCUCUAUCUGAUGCCGGAGCCCCUCAUAACUUGGAGUCGGAUGAGACACGACGGAAAAGUAAUGACGUGAAAGUCGUUGGUGACACGUGGAAGACUUCUUGGGUGGAGCGAUGCGGCCAACUCCAGAUCCUCAGGUCUGGCAAUCUAGUUUACCUGGGUUCCUGGGCCGUGCAAACAGGUCAGAGAUGUUGUCUGCAGGCAGCUGGAGGUCCAGCAGGACUGAGAGGAAUCUCCCAGCAUCCACGUGGGCUUUUCAUCCCUCCCAGGCUCCUCAGGAAUUCACUGGGAACAAAUCUUCUGUGCUGUGUCCCUUCUUGAAUGCUGAGUCACAUCUACUCCCUCUGCUUUCCGGUCACUGGGUUUGCACAGUUUGUCCCCAUUCAAAUUUGCCUUAUUAGAUUCAGUUCAGCGUUCUGGCUUGGCGAUCCCUCAGGGAUCUCUGCUCCCCUCUUGGCUUGGAAGUUUUGCAACUUCAGCAAACUUGCUGAACCUUUU